CCGGGGAGCCGGGCAGCCGCGUCCCUCUUUAUGGGGGCCGAGGAAAGUCCGGGCUCCACGAAACAAGGGUGGCGGGUAACGCCCGCCGACUCCGGACGUGUUCCGGGGUUAGGGAAAGUGCCACAGAGAGUAUACCGCCGAUGGCCCGCGCUCCUUCUGGAGAUUGGGGGCACAGGCAAGGGUGAAAGGGUGCGGUAAAAGCGCACCGGGGUUCUGGUAACAGCGCCCGCAUGGCAAACCCCACCCGGAGCAAGACCGCAUAGGGGUCUCGCGCCUUACGGGCAGGAGUGUUUCGCUCCCAUGAGACCCGGGUUGGUUGCUGGAGCAUUGGAGCAAUCCAAUGCCUAGAUGAAUGGCUGCCCCUGCCGAUACGGUCCCUUUUGGGAUACCGUCGGCAGGACAGAACCCGGCUUACAGGCUCCCCGGCACU
rnacentral:RNase_P_RNA from 1 species